CAACUCAGUAGGUGGUAGGGAAGGUCAUUACAUCUGGCAUUUCUGCAAACUGGGGUGUCUGAGAACUGGUAAGUCCAUGUAGGACCAUCUAGCCCAGGCAUUUCUGCAAGUCAAAUACAGCCCAAAUAACGAGAAGUGUAUCAUAGAGGAAGCUCUAGUGCCUGUUUCCUCUCACAAUACAGAGAUAACUGCCUCCUGCAGUGCUAAAUAUGACUGGUUUUGGUGGAGGCUGCUGAGGCCUGGUUUCAUCAGUGUGUGCUUUGCCCUCUGGAAAACCAGCCUUCCACAGCUCCCAGGUGGCAUGGCUAGCCCUUGCCUCCUGCUCCUUCCCAAAUCAUAUCAGUAUUCACAGAGGGAAGUGGAUGCUGUAAUUUUUUUGUUUUUUUCUUUUUCACCUCCUGCUGGGAGAAAUUGAGUCACACUAGAGUGACGGCUAUGGGCUGGUAGAAGGCUAAAAAAAUUAAGUUAAAGCAUGAAUCUCCAUUCACCAUACCUUCCUCCCCAUCCCAGGCAACAUAUGCUUGUGGCUUAACUUUUCAUGUCCUUGGUUUAAUGAACUCGUGUCAGGAAUUUCAUGUGCAUAGCAACCUUAUCUGAUGACAGUGACAUUUUUAGCAUGUUUAUGUUCAGUUUUAUUUGCAAACCAUUUCCAGCAUAGUUCAGCUGAGUGGAUUGGACGGGGCUGAAAUGUGUAAUAACCCAACACACAAACUGGAAGCUCAGCCAGAGUUACUACAGGGCUCUGAAGCACAUCCAUGGACAAAAGGAUUUGCAACUGAGUUUGUGCACCAGAUUUUCCAGCUGCAGCCUUUCACACACUUGCUUGUGUCCAAGAAGAAAUGCUGGGGGGGGGCAUGGGGAGGGUUUAUUUCUCUUUCUUUCUUUCUUUCUUUCUUUCUUUCUUUCUUUCUUUCUUCUCUUUCUUCUCUUUCUUCUCUUUCUUCUCUUUCUUUUCUCAGUACGGUCACAAUCAGAUGACAAUAUGUUUCCCAUGACAGCUGUGGGGCCACUCUCCAACCCAAUGCUCCCUGAUACCCACAACAUUACAAAAGCAGACAUCUCUGAUGACAUCUCUGCUUCACCGCAGCUCCAGCUACUAGGAGAAUGUGAGAUCCAUACCUAAAUGCAGAGAAGAUUUGGAUGUCUCCUUGAAGGAGAUCAUGAUGAGUAAGGCACUGUGGGCUGAGCAGUAGCAAAGUCUUAGACCAGCAAUCAGGAGAGCUGGUGUAUCCAUCAGACAAUUAUUUGCUUGUUUCCUGAUGUGGUUGAGUUUUACCCCUUCCCCCCUUCUCAAUUUUUCUCUAAGUAAUGAAGCAAUUCAUUGUCAGUGCAUAUUUUAAACACUGACUCUCUUGGUUCCUGUCUUAGACCCAGCACACACUUCCCAAAAGUUUCCUGUGGGCCCCAACUACAGCAGUUUAAACAUUUUCCAUCGUACGUGCCGUAGCUCUGUGCUGCCAUGGGGUCCUCAGUUCCCUGAUUUCUGGUCAGUCAGGGCAGUACCUCUACAUACUUCCUGCCUGGGACCUGCUGCAGCCAUUGAGGCCACUUUCAGCCUUUCUUCACUUCUGAUCACGGUCUCAUACUGAGUUUUCCUGGUCUGUCUGAACUUGAAAGCUCUUUGGGGAAAGCAGCAGGAGCUGAUCUUGGCUUCAGAAUCAGUCGUGCUACUGCAACACAUAGAGAAAGAAGGCGUAGUUUGAUGCGCAGCAAUACAGGUCAGAAUGCCUAUCUUCCCUAGGCUAUCUGCAGCCUCUUCCAGAGAGGAGAGGCAAGUUCCCAAUACGAACUGCUGUGCUUGGGAAGCUGCCACUAAGAAUUAUGAGUUUUUCCCUAGACAGUCUUUUCCAGGUCUGCUGGCAGGAUGGGAUACGAAGCCCCCAUUGGGAAUGUAGCUUGAGCUACUAAUUCCCCAGUCCCACAUAAAUGUUACUCCCCUGCUUUCCAGGCAGCUCCUUCGACACAAAGGUAGCUUAGAAUAUCUGGUGCCUUCUGUGUUGUAAAGGUGCUGGGCAAAUAGCACUAUCAGAGGCAGCAAGACAAGUGUGAUGCUGACCAGAGACUGAAUCAUAAUGUGCUUCUCCCAAUACCAUGAAUUCACGUGCCUUGCUCGACCUUUCUCCAGAAAUCAAACAGAAAACAAGAUUAGAAGCAGCAGUGUGAAAGGUUUCAUGCAAUCAUGGAAUGGAAAAUGUUCGGUGUUAACAUGGCAGCCAUCCUUAUAGUACAGUUUUCCAUCAUGGGGAUCGCCUCUCUUUGGGGCACAAGGACAGCCCUGAGCCCCUGGGUUUUGCUCCUUCCCUUGGCAGGAGGCAGAGGGAGGAGGAGAAGGAGGGUCCCAGCCUGGGCGGCUGGUGCUGCCCCAGCUGGGGACAGCUCGGUGCCAGUGGGUGAGGUCACUGCCAUCAGGGAGGAGGGCAGGGGCUGCUCCCUUCCCAGCUGUUGUGUGUCCCGAGUCCCAGCACAUGCUCAGCAGCCACUGGGGACGCCGGCAGGCAAGGAGAUGUCUGGAGAAGUUGCAGUCAUUCUCACUUUCCUCUCUUUCCUCCUCCUGCAAGGAAGCAAUCAUUUUAGGGCACACAAAUCCUGAUCAUAUUAUUUCACAUCCCCAGGCAUUUACACCCAGAGUUGCUGCCAGGGUUCCAGUUCCUUCCAUAAACUAGAUUUUCAAUUUUAGAGGGACUUUACAUUGAACUUAAAAGACCUCGGUCUCCUGUAUCCUGAAGAAGCACAUUAAAAAUGCAUCUUUAAGUGCUUCUAAUUAUACUGGUAUUUUUCCUCAUGCUUUACUUAUUUUCCUACUUGGGUUUGGUUUGGGUUUUCUUUUUUCUUUUUCUUUUCCUUGCUAAUUAGAAGACUAAUUUUAGAAAUUAGUCUUGUCCACUCUGGAAACCUAAUAGAAAAUUAGUAAAAAUGCAAUAGCAGGAAAAUAAAAGUAAGCCUGGGGAAAGGUAAUUGUUUAUAACUGAGGGGUUUUGUUAACUGCUGUGCUUAAUUAACACGCUGCAGAGGGGAUCCUUUGUUGAAACUUCCACAUGCUACUUUCUCAGUUAAGGUACAAGAGGGAUCCUCAUAAAAAAGAGCUUGGAGACAACUGGUAUGUCCCCUAGCAAAUUUAGCAUUCCUUAAAAUAAAAAUUAAAAAAAAAAAUUAAAUCCUCAAAAACCAAAACCAAACAUAUGCAUACCCUCUUUCUUUUUUCUGUAUAUGAUCAUUUUUCUCCAUGUAAUCCAAAGCUCUUUCUCAUUAAUUCCUAGUAGAAACAAAAAAACUUAAAUUAUGAUCCUCAUUGCUGAUGUGUUUUUAGCCCACAGGAAAAAUGGGCUGGGGUGAUUAUUUUCAGGGUUAUGAUGGCUGGUUGAAGAAACUGCAGGAAAGCUGAAUCAUCGGGUGAGCAUCUUGUUUUCAUCUUUUUUUAUUUUGCUAUCCCACAUCUAAGGGCUGGCUUAUGAAAAUUCAAAAGGCUUUUAUACAUGUACAUUCCUCUAUAAAGAGUCAAAGAAUUACAGGCCACUGCAGUGUCUCACAAAUAGCUACAAACUUAGGUAAAGGUGUGUGUUUCAAGUUCCCUGUCAGAUGCAGCUGUAAUCAAGAGAGUGGUAAAGCAGUAAGAGGCUUAAGGAUGCUUUAACUUUAUGUACAAACAGAAAAGUCAAAGAGGGAGAGGACAGGAUUUACCAUAGCUUGAAUGAAUUGCCACAUUAGGUAGAAGAGAGAAGUGCUAGCUUAUUUUGUGCUUUAGGUCUGUGUAUAACUCAAAAUCCAAAUAUUAUUUAUAAUAUUCUCUUCCACAGAAAAACCUUUCAACUUUUUUCUUCUUUUUUUUUCUUUUCUUUUUUCUCCCAGGACCAGUGCAAGAAGGCAGCAGUGCCUGCAGGACUCCUUACAUCUUGACCUAACACAAGUUGCUACCUCAUGUGAAGGAACUCCAGAAGUCCCUAAGUACCUCUGUCCUGUGGGUUUGAUUCCUUCAACACUUUCCUGUCUCUUGGUAGCUGAGAAAUUGCAGAGCAGGUUGUAGACUGGGCAGCUCAGAAGCCUGCUACUCCUUAACUAAUCCCAGGAAACGAUGAUCUGAUAAAUGGGAGAGAAGGGUGACAGUGUUAAACGGAGCUCAUCUUCACCUCAUCUGAAAGGAGGCUUCCCACAGUGAUGGCACCUCACGUAUCUGUGUUGGCAAUUUCUCACAUCCUACAAAGCUAGGAUCUUGGCCUCAGGAGGUCCUGGUGAAUUUUCUGCUUUCUGUGUCAGCACUGUCAGUUCACUCUUCUGGUCCAUCUCCCUGACCCAAACGCGGGGCUGAGAAUAAGGGCAAUGCACAGAUCUUUGUGCACAGCUUCCUGCGCUGGUCCAUAUGUCCCAAAGGCAGAGCAGACCAGCAAAGCCAUCCAGAACAGUCCAUAAUGACAGUAGGAAGCUGGAGGAGCUGGGAGAAUUGAGGAGGCUCUCAAGGGAGCAGGAAGAAAGUCCUAAAUGUGGGAGGGAAUCUUGGCAGAAAUGAAAGGGGGGUUGUUGAGCAAAGCAUGCACUAGCUCCAGAUGCACAGAGCUUGCCAUAUGUUAUGCUGAGAAUCUGUGGGUGUGUUUAUAAGACCUGCCACUGACUUGCAAGCACAAAGGAUGUAGCUUCCUCUUAUCAGAAAAAUGUGGGCUUCAGCCUUGCAGAAGAGGGAAAAGGAACUUUCUAGUAACUUCACACUGGGUCUUCUUUCUGGUUGUAGUCUGACAGAAUGAUCCCAAAGUUUGGUUUUGACUGGACCGACUUUGGUUUCAGUCAGACAAAAGUGGUGUCUUUAAUUGGGGCAGGCUAUAAACGAGUUAGUUCCCCUGCAGUUCCCACAACAAAGCUACAGUGGGAAUCUGGAUGACUUUCUACGGCACUGGAAAAAUCCCUUGCUCUUAACAUCUCUUGGGCAUACUAGAGAAUUUCAAGCUAGUUUCACUUUGUCCUCAGCCAGCUUCCUGAAAUGAGAACCACAGGGCCACUUCAGUUGAGCAAAUAUUUGGCCUUGAUUACUGUAGCAGGCUGAGCCCAAAAACAAACAGCGGACAUGGGAUAAACUGAGAGGCACCAUUAGUGGAGAAGAAUUUCACACAGUAACCUCAGGAAAGGCAGCUAGCUGAAAGUAGGGGUGCUUUCUUGGCUUUUUGUAAGGAGGGUUUUUAAAAAAAAGGGGAACUAAUUUCAUCCUGGUAGAGGAAGAGGGAAGUGAACAUUCAGUUAGAUGCCUUUUGUUUAGAGGUCCAUUAAAGAUGACUGAUGCUGAAAAGCAAUUAAAACAAUAAUAAAUUUUGUGAAGUAAUUAAAUGCUGCCACUCUUAUAUGUUCUCUGAGCCAAGUCCUGUUUUUGUUAUAGCACAAUCACUCUGCUACUGAAUUCUUGGUUCUGUGAAAACAUGGCCCAGCCUGAGACCUACAGAAGGAAAAUAGAAGCAAAGGUGGCAGAAAGCUCUCCACAACCCUACCUUAUCAGAGUGAAUUAAACAGUGUUUAGAUGGAUUUAUCAGUAUCUUUAAAGUGUAUUUUCCUUAUCAGUACCUCACCCAAGCCCAGCUUGUCAUAAGCAUGACAGGUGCAGGGCACAGAGGGGCAGGGGAGGGAUGCUAUUUUCCUUUCAACUUAUCCUCUGCUAAGAGGAAUGCCCCCAAGCCCUUCUGAACUCAGGAAUCUGAAGCAUUUCUUACCCCCUCUGAGAAAGAGAGAAGGAAAAGGAGGUAUUUGAGAUGUUAAUAAAGGCUCCUUAGCAAUUGUUGAAUCGGGGAGCUGUGAGGCCAGGGCAGACAAGCCUAAAAUUUUGUACUUGUUGAAUUAUCACUGAAGGAGCUAAGGUGUAACAGAUGUGUGAAAAAUAUUGUUUUCUUCAGAGAAAAAACACAAAAACCAAACAACAACAACAAAAACAAAAGAAAAAAACCCACAAAAAACUCAACACCCCCCAACAAGCAAACAAACAAACAAACAAACAAACAAAAAUCCUACAAAGAAAACCAACAGUUGCUGUGCUUUUUAAAAAGCAGGUAACAUGAUGUUUUCUGCUGACAUUUUGGACAAGUCUGGGCAGGCCCAAGUCAGGAAAAUCAGAUUCCAAAUCUGAGUUUUGGGACAAAGAUUCUUUUGCUGGAUAGCUUGUAUUCGUGUUGGCCAUUUUGUUUACUGGUGUUGAAUGCCAGCUUUUUUGAAUUUAAAGCUGAGUAGAACACAGUGAGCAGCAAGAGAACAGGGCUAGAGGAAACACAGUUUGGAAGAGGAUAUAAUGAACUAAAAAAUGUCUGUUGCUUAGGACUAUGGUUCCAUAUAAAUGGCAGAGGUACCUCUUGGAUUUAAAGAGCUCUGGGCCAUUAUUCUUAGUAUGUCAGAUUAGGAAUGUGGUGUCUGUAACCACACCAAAUGGAGUUGUAAUCUUAUCUCAGGGACUGGAGGAACUCACAAGCUCCAAGAAGACUUUUCCUGUGCCUCAGACAGAAAUUUUCAUCUAGGUGUGUUUC